rnacentral:rRNA from 1 species
UACGUAGGGGGCGAGCGUUGUCCGGAUUUAUUGGGCGUAAAAGGCUUGUAGGUGGCCACGCCAAGUCGGACGUGAAAUCUCCCGGCUCAACUGGGAGGGGUCAUUCGAUACUGGCGGGCUCGAGGCCGGUAGGGGGUAGCGGAAUUCCCGGUGUAGUGGUGGAAUGCGUAGAUAUCGGGAGGAACACCAGUGGCGAAGGCGGCUACCUGGACCGGUUCUGACACUGAGGAGCGAAAGCGUGGGGAGCGAUCCGG